UCAGGUUGCUGUAUAUUACCAGUAUAUCGGGUUCUUAUUGUUGAAUCGCAAACGCGGCUAUCGAAUGUAGCCAGAAAUUGUCAGCGAGUUUUUCUCGUCAAAUUAAUCUAUAUCCUUUAUUUGCAGCGUACUUAAUCUGUAAUUUGAACUUGUGGAAUGUUCUGUUGCGGAAAACAGCUGGGAAAUUUGUUGUCGCUGUGCAGAGAAAUUGCUGGCGCACGCGAUAUUUUACAAAAAUUCGAAAAUUUGAAAAAACAACACGAGUGAAAUUUCAACUGAUGAUUUUGCAUUUUUAAGACGACGAUCAAGGAAAUUAAAUUGUUGGAAAAACUUCACUAACAUCUCAAGUAUGGAAAGCAUCUACAUUACCAGAAAUUUAAUUGUGGAUUGAUUCAAAAUUCAGGCGAUAAAGUUACAUAGCUAGGAGUUGGCUUUUGUGCUCUUCGAAUAUCAGUUUUCAUUCGCAGAAUACCAGAACUUGUUGGCCUCAUGGGUGCCAAAAUCGACAUAAACAUAAACUGCUAACCAAGAGCUAUAAAACAAAUUGCUUUUCAAAAAGAUAAACUUUAUUCAGUCAAAAGGAUGAGGGUAAAUAAACAUGCUACUGCGUGAUAGUGAUUUCGAAGCAACUUUGUCACAUAUAUUUUAAAAAGUGUGAUAAUGAAUCAAAUUUUACUUUUUGCAAUCCCAAAAAGGUAUGAAAAUUAUUUAAAUAUUUAAGGUUUCCGU